UAAUGUGAAAAUGCAAUAUUGUGAAAAUGUAAUAUUGUGAAAAUGCAAUAUUGUGAAAAUGUAAUAUUGUGAAAAUGUAAUAUUGUGAAAAUGAAAGUUUAGAUACAUAGUUUGCAAGAAUCUAUGUAAGAAAGUCACCGGAAAAAGUUUCUGAAAAAAUCUGGAAGUAAAAACAAUGAUCGUCCCAAGACGACAGCUAACAACUCAAUGUCUGAUAGUUUAACUCUCAGUGACUCCGUUGGGCCUGCCAGACCAGCUUCGAGGAACUCUCUCUUUAGAAACAACAGUACAAAUUCAUAUCAG